rnacentral:rRNA from 1 species
AGAGUUUGAUCCUGGCUCAGGACGAACGCUGGCGGCGCGCCUAACACAUGCAAGUCGAACGAGCGAGAGAGAGCUUGCUUUCUCGAGCGAGUGGCGAACGGGUGAGUAACGCGUGAGGAACCUGCCUCAAAGAGGGGGACAACAGUUGGAAACGACUGCUAAUACCGCAUAAGCCCACGGCUCGGCAUCGAGCAGAGGGAAAAGGAGCAAUCCGCUUUGAGAUGGCCUCGCGUCCGAUUAGCUAGUUGGUGAGGUAACGGCCCACCAAGGCGACGAUCGGUAGCCGGACUGAGAGGUUGAACGGCCACAUUGGGACUGAGACACGGCCCAGACUCCUACGGGAGGCAGCAGUGGGGAAUAUUGCACAAUGGGGGAAACCCUGAUGCAGCGACGCCGCGUGGAGGAAGAAGGUCUUCGGAUUGUAAACUCCUGUUGUUGAGGAAGAUAAUGACGGUACUCAACAAGGAAGUGACGGCUAACUACGUGCCAGCAGCCGCGGUAAAACGUAGGUCACAAGCGUUGUCCGGAAUUACUGGGUGUAAAGGGAGCGCAGGCGGGAAGACAAGUUGGAAGUGAAAUCCAUGGGCUCAACCCAUGAACUGCUUUCAAAACUGUUUUUCUUGAGUAGUGCAGAGGUAGGCGGAAUUCCCGGUGUAGCGGUGGAAUGCGUAGAUAUCGGGAGGAACACCAGUGGCGAAGGCGGCCUACUGGGCACCAACUGACGCUGAGGCUCGAAAGUGUGGGUAGCAAACAGGAUUAGAUACCCUGGUAGUCCACACUGUAAACGAUGAUUACUAGGUGUUGGAGGAUUGACCCCUUCAGUGCCGCAGUUAACACAAUAAGUAAUCCACCUGGGGAGUACGACCGCAAGGUUGAAACUCAAAGGAAUUGACGGGGGCCCGCACAAGCAGUGGAGUAUGUGGUUUAAUUCGACGCAACGCGAAGAACCUUACCAAGUCUUGACAUCCUGCGACGGUUCUGGAAACAGAACUUUCCUUCGGGACGCAGAGACAGGUGGUGCAUGGUUGUCGUCAGCUCGUGUCGUGAGAUGUUGGGUUAAGUCCCGCAACGAGCGCAACCCUUAUGGUCAGUUACUACGCAAGAGGACUCUGGCCAGACUGCCGUUGACAAAACGGAGGAAGGUGGGGAUGACGUCAAAUCAUCAUGCCCUUUAUGACUUGGGCUACACACGUACUACAAUGGCGUUAAACAAAGAGAAGCAAGACCGCGAGGUGGAGCAAAACUCAGAAACAACGUCCCAGUUCGGACUGCAGGCUGCAACUCGCCUGCACGAAGUCGGAAUUGCUAGUAAUCGCAGAUCAGCAUGCUGCGGUGAAUACGUUCCCGGGCCUUGUACACACCGCCCGUCA